rnacentral:lncRNA from 1 species
CUAUACUUCACCUUUGUUCCAGAGUUUUUCAUAAGUUUUCAAAAUAAAACUCAGAGUUCCCAGCAAUGAUUCUCUCAAGUCUCUCUAUAUGUGGUAUUUGUGGAUCCUUACCAAAAUAUCACUUACCUAUAGCUAAUGGAAUAUUUAAGUGGAGCUCAUAGGAGUGAAAAACAGCUCAUACAUAUGUUGUCUAAUCGAGCCAUGGAUCCAAAGGAACUCAGUAUAUAAUUAAAUCAAGAUGUGCAUGUGUGAUGGAGUAAAUGAUAGUGAUAGUAAAAAUGUAUAAGUGAUAAUAAAACUUAGUUCUCAUUGCUCCUUAUAUUGCUAUCUCUCCUGCUCUUUGAUCUUUGCUUUAGGAGAACAUGGGCUAUCUUUUUCUUUUCUGUUUUUUUCAGGUGGGUAGUAGAUACCCCUAAUUCUACUGUCGGACACUUGUCCAUUUUUUCCGCUCACGUGGGCAUCUUUGGACCCCUAAUUCUACUUCGGACACUUGUCCAUUUUUACCUCUCAUCUCACUCUUUUUUCUUUCUUUUUCCGAGGUUCCGGGCACUUGCCCCUUUUUAUUUCCUCGCAUAUUUUUGCAUAAUCCAUGCCUCUUCUACAUUGAAUCUUUUUAGAGAGAGAGAAUAACAAUACUUGGGACAGUGAGUGAUACUAUUUUUAGCAAUUUUAAUGAAUGGUGAUGGAUGGUGUAGUAGAUGUGUGCAAGUGAAUAACUUAAUUUAAUCACAUGAAAAGCUCCUAAGGAUCUACACAGCUCGAUCAAACUCAAUGUAAAUAUAGUAAAAGAUGUUAUAGCAAGUAUGGCUGUGGUAGGUAGUUUGUUAUGCUAGGAACUCAUCAUGUGAUUUGUAAGUUUAAAAAUAAAUCUCCAGAACUUAGUGUAGAAGGAACAAGAUAAACAGCAGCUCAAACUUUAUAUCUUACCCUUCUUAUACCUAGACUUUAGUUUUAUGCUUCCCAUACAUAGUAAAUUUAGUUUUGGUAAUUCCUGGAAGAACUCUAAUAUAAAAUCUAGGUACUUGAAAGUAAGCAAACAGAGCAACUGUUCAUCAUUUCCAUCAUGCAUCUUUUUGGUCUUUUUAUUUUUCGAG